rnacentral:rRNA from 1 species
ACCUGGUUGAUUCUGCCAGUAGUCAUAUGCUUGUCUCAAAGAUAAGCCAUGUGAGUCCUA